GCAGUGUAAGGAUGCCUGCCUUUCUGAUCUGCACACUCUGCAUGCUCUGCAAGAAGGAAGUCUUCUUGAAACAUUCUCCAGCCCUUAAAAUAGAAGUUGGUAUGCCGUGUCUCACAGUUUGAAUUUAGGAUCAAAUCCAAAUGUUCUUUCAGUGUGAUCAAACCUCAAGUUUGGAGGAUGUCUGAGCCUUGAAUUUAGUUUGUUUCCAUUUUAGAAACUCUGCUUUCUGGUCUGCUUGUCUAGGACCACUUAAAAGUCUUCAAAUCAAAGCAGAUCUGUGGUUUUCUGUGCUUCCCUGCUGGGCUGCUUUGAUUUCUGAGCUUUGAGUUUACCAAAGAGGCCACUUUGCCUCCUUCUACAGUCAAGGCAUUGUCACCAGGAUGACAUGAAGUUUGGCAAUUUUGUUGAUGCUUUGGCCUUAAAUAUUUUAUUCAAGGCUUUUUGCUUUCUCCAAAAGCUUCUUUGCAAGUCUCAUGUUCUGUUAUGAUUGGAGUUCAUUCUGUAUUCUUAGUUUUCUCCAUUUCUUUCUCAUUUUUCUCUUUUAAUUCCAAAUAUAUCAUUAUUUUCUCUGAAUGUGUAGGGAUGCAGCACACAGCAUUUCAGCACAGAGGUAGUGCCUAUGGCAGCAUUGGGAAGAAUCCAUGAGACAGCAGUGUCAAACUCUCUGCACUGGCUUUCUGGCAAGGGAUCAUUCCUUGAGCACAUUUUUUCAUGGUAUUUUCAUCUGUAAUGCCUGCCUCAAGGCAAAGCAUUUUCUAUUUGGGCUGCAGGAGUGCGUGUUGAAGUGUUGGAAGAGGCAGGACAAGAAAGCUGCUAUGUUGCUUAGGUAGUUGUUCUUAGAAAAGCAUCGUUGGCAAACUAGCACAAUAAUUUUGCAAAAGAGAAAAAGAAACUUGCCCAGGAAACAGAAUUUUGCUGACAAGGCGUGAAGAAAUAUCUGCUUUUAUUUAACUCUGUUCUCUGGAGAGAUUCAGCAUUUUGCUAUGUAGCUCUUUUCAUACCAAGCUAACUUUUAAAGUAUAGACAGUUUCUCAGCCAACAUACUUUUUAAAGGUGCAAUACUGCUCUAUUUUCUGAAGCUGUUUGAAUCUUGUUUGACAUAUUGCAUUUGUUAUUGCUUCUGGCUCACUGUGAGGGGCUGGGCUUCAAGGUCUG
rnacentral:lncRNA from 1 species